GGAUGUGAGGGUGAUCUGGUUGUGACAUCUGUCACCCCAUUUAUCACCAGGGCUGAUUGGGCUGAUCUGGCAGUCUAGGCAAGUGGUCCCUUCCUCCCUUACCACCCCAUGUGCCUCCCUUUUGAAGCUAUGUGCUUACUCGAAGAGGACGGCCUUCCUGAUAGAGGACUGUUCUUUGGUCAAGGGUAUAUGAAUAGCUGCGCUCCCUUUCUAGAAUUUAGAGUUUCUGAACAAACUCUCAAGGUCCAUUUGUAGGGGAACAUAAGGUUUUAUUAUAUUAUUUUUUAAAAAAGACAUCACCUUUAUCUUGGGCUUUGAUGUCU
rfam:Canis lupus familiaris chromosome 23, whole genome shotgun sequence.